GCUGCCGGAAUUCUCGAAACGUUUUUAAUUUUUUCCGUAAUAACCAAAUUAGUUCUCUCGUUUUUUCUUUGCUGAUGUGAUUUACUAAUUUUCUCUGUUCCUGUCUUGUUUCUCGCUCUGUCUUUUCUUUUUCUUUGUCAUUUGUAAUCCAUUGAAUGAGAGGGGAUAAAGAGCUUAUGGCGCGAAUGGUAGUUGAAAGAGUCAAAAUUGAGAAAGGCAAAAGCAAUUACGAAAUACUAGAUGCCUAUGCAUUUUAGUGGGCCCACAUUGCUACCAUUUGAUGUUAGAGUCCAAGCCCAAACUUGAUCUAAGAGCAUCUUUAUCUUUAUCGGGAGAUCUUAUGAGGAGUUUUUAGUUUAAUUAGGAAUUAAAGAAAAAGAAAAAAGCCAAUUACCAGAAGCAACGUAUCUUAAUUAGGUGACAUAGGAUACGCCUCUUGAUGCCACCCGUCGCUUUUUUGGGGUAGACAAUUUCUUCUCCCUCUUCCUUGCCCUGUCGCUGACGAAGAACCCCGCUUUCUCUGAGGUUUCCUAAUCAGAGAUGGAGAUUGAUUCCGUCGCAGCUGGAGGAGCUCUUAAACCAGAUGGAGAUCGAUUCCGUCGAGACGAGGAACCCCGCUUUUUGAUAGGUGUGGGCGAUUACAGAUGCAAAGAGGCAAGGUUUAAUCCCCUCCGCCCUUAAACCAGGAGGAGCUCUCCGGUUUAAUCCCCGGCGCCGUCCGCUUCACCUUCCCAUCACUUGCUCUGUCUCUCCAUCAAACCAUCACUUUCUCUGUCUCUCCAUGAAAUGAUGAACCAUCCUCCGAACUCUGUGAGAUAAGCACAUACGUUUGCGUCAUUACCUCUCUAAGAUAAGCCACAGGUUCCGCAUCUUUCUGCUUCUACAGUUUCUGGUCGUCACUGUUAGCCAGUUUACCACGUUUUUCCAGACCACUGCGUAUAGCGGACGUAUCACGUAUAUAAACGGUGGUGAUUUCACGGUCUCUGCGGUGGUCCAAGUUGUUGGGAUUAUUUUGUCUGCACGCAGCAACGAAAAUAUCUCAUAGAGCUCAAGCGAUAGCAUCAGUUGCAAGUAAAUGGCAUGCAAUAAUGUUGUGCUAAUCUACGGAUACAACUCAGAUAAGGACUUGUCCUAGUGGAGUUCACUUGGAAGCCACCACGAAUCCACCCAUCUCCUUUCAGAAUUAGGUACGCCAUUGCUGAAUGACACCAUCUUUGAUCACUUAUUUGGAAAAAUAUUUUUGUCUGCUUUGGUGUUUUUGCAUAUGUAUACAAAUGUUUUUAUCACAUUCUUUCUUAUCAUCUGAACUUCUUGUUUUUUUUGUGCUGUGUUUCUACUUGUAUUUUAAAUCUAUGUUUAAAAUGUUAUGUUUAAAAAUUUAAUAAAUAAAUUUGAAGUUUAAUAAAAUAAUGUUUGAUAUUUUUUUUAAGAAACCUUAAAUAAGAGAUUGCAAUGGACCACACAAAUAUAUCCGUCUCUUAACUAGGUCUCUUAAACCCAUUUUUCCAACUAAAAAUUAUUAAAAAAAGAUUAAGAACCCCUAAAUGAGUAUGUGGGAUAAUGAUGCUCUAAGAAACUAGAAUCAUAUUGAAGUUUGGUUUUACAAUUUUUUAAAAAAAAAUUUUUAGAGAACUUGCAUUUGUGCAAGUAAUACUUCAUCCGUUUCUAAUCGUAAUUAGUUUUGUUUAAAACCACAAAUAUUUAAAAAAUUGUUAUUUAAAAGAAUAUAUCAUUUAACCAAUUAAUUCAACCAAUUAUUAAAAAUCUAUAUUAUUAAAAGAGAAGUACUCAUUUGAAAACGUUCUUAUUUCAUUAAUUAAACUCUUUUUUUUUUGCUUUGUCUUUUUCAGUUGCAUUUAUGAAAUAUCCUAAAACGAAUAAAACUGCCUAAUUUAUUACUUGUCUUUUCAGUUACAUUAAUGAAAUAUGCUUAAAUGAAUUUAAACUUCAUAUUUUAUUGUUUGUCUUUUUCAGUUAUCUUAAUGAAAUAUCCUUAAAUAAAUUUGGACAUAAUGUCAUUUAAUCAACCAAAAAAACUCAUGAGUUAUCCUUACGUGCAUAAUUUUAAUAAUGGAGAUUUUUAAAAACGUGCAUCAUUAAAAUGUUACCUAAAACAUGCAGCACUAAUAUAUAACAUGCAUCAAUAAAACUAGAAUUUGACUCACACAAUUGUACGGAUAUUAUUUUCAGUUGAUUAAAUUUAAAAAUAAUUAUUUAUUCAAAAAAUAUUUAAGAAUGACUAUGUUUUUAAAAAUUAUAUGGUAUUAUUUGCUCAUAACUCAUUUGUCAUUUGUUAAAUUGUUAGAAAGAAAAUUUUAGCAUAAUAUAACUCAGUUGUCAUUUGUUAAAUUUAUGGUUUUUAUUUAUAUUUUUUAUUAUUUAAUUAUAAUAUUUUCAUUUUAUAUUUGAAAGAUAAAUGAAUUUUCUUUCAAACAAUAUUUUUGUAAAUGUACUUUUUAAAAAAUAAUCAAUUAAAAUUGUUACUAUCAUUGAAUAUCAUUAUUUUUGACAUAAUUUGAGUUUUUGUUUACAUCAAAACUUAUCAUAUUUUAGGAUAAUUUUAAUUUAAAAUGUAGUUUUCAUAUUUUUCAAACAAAUUCUAAAAAUAUUUUUUAAAUAUUUUGUUAUAAUUUUUUAAAAAAUAUUGAGUUGCAUUUCAAUUAAAAAGGUAAAGAUAUUAAAAAUAUUCUAAUUAAAAUAUGUAAAAUUUAAUAUAGUUUUAAGGAAAUUGUCAAAAUAAAAAAAAUUACACAUAAAAUAAUCAUGAUUUUUGUUAACUAGGCGGAUUAUUAUUUAUAUGAUAUCGCACACGAAAAAAAAAAUUCUGUUUUUAAAAUUAUCUAAUUAACUCUAUACUCAUUUUUCUUAUAUUUUUUAUAUGAUAUCACACAUUCGUAAAAAAAUAAGUAGUUUAAGAUGCAAAAAAAAAAAAUCUAAUUAAUGAAUAUAAUAUGAACGAAUAUUACAAAUACAUCAUUUAAUAAAAUAAAUAAUUAAAAACUGAAAAUUCAUAUCCGCGCUGGCGCGCGGAUCAGGAUCUAGUCUAACAUUAUUUCAUUGGUCACACAAUAUCCAAUAAAUGAAAAAGAUGCAUUGAAAUAUGUAAACUACUUAUAUUGUGAAACAAACUAUUUUCGCUAAAACUAAUUACAUUUAGAAACGAAAGAAUUAGUAGUUUUGUUAUACCUGCAUCUCAAAAUGCUAAAUAUUUAGUCCCCAGAUUGCAUUUUUUAAAACAAAAUUUAAAUAAUUAACUUGUUCAAUGAAUACUCGGGACCAGAUUGUGUUUCAAAAACAUGCUUUUCGUUUCUAACAUUCCGUAUGAAGCCUGUGAAGAAGUUCCAAUUUUUUGUUGUUCACAUUCAAAGUAUUUGUCGGUGUCAGAUUCGGUUUGCUUUAUCACUAGUUGUAAGUUUGUAACGGACAUUUUUGCAAAAAAAAAAAAAAAAAAAUUGUAACGGACAUUUUUGCAAAAAAAAAAAAAAAAAAAAAUUGUAACGGACCUACUUCCAUUGGUUAAUGAUGGAAACGCAAAGCUUCUCUAUUUCGCCGUCACACAUUAAUGCAAAUGACUGUUUACAAUAUAUUUCAACGUAUAACCAUUUGCAACGUAUAUACUAUAUGAAUGAAACGUCAAAUGGACCAAUGGUAACAUUUACAAACAUUGCUUCUCAGACAUCCCAUAAAUUUGUAUAUUAUACAACUAGGUGAUUAUCCGCGCACAUGCACAAAAUGAAAUGUAUAAUCUAAUAAUUGUUGAAUACGAAUUUUAACCGUCCAAUCAUAAUUAUAUAAUUCGUAAGCCCUAUAUAUAUUAAUCUAAAUAUCUAUUAAAUAUGAUUUACUCAUAUGGUUUUAUGAUUAUUUGUAUUUUAUUAUAACAAAAAUUUUAAACUAAAAAUCAUAAAAUUUUCAGUGUGAGACUUUUAACAAUUUUUCGUUAUUUAUAGUCAUUUUAAAAAUUAAAAAAAUAUAACAUAUAUGAAAAAAAUCUAAUUAUUAAUAUGGUUAAUACGAUUGUUUAAUUUAUUUUUAAUAAUAUAACAUUAAAAAUAACGAAUAUAUGUAAAUUAUUGUCAAAUCUUUAUACUUAAAAUUAUUAAUUGUCAAAUAUAUAUUUUGUUCACUUUUGGUAAUUCUGUAAUUUUUAUUUAAUGAAAGAAGGAAAAACAAUAAUUGUAGAUUGUUAAUUAAUUUCAUGGUUAGUUUAAAAAGAAGUAUAUAAGAGCAUCAGCAUUAAUGUACCCCAUAAAAGGGGUUCACAAAGUAUUUUUUUAUUAUUUUUUUUUCUGUUUGAUUUUUGUUUUAAAAAAAAAAAAUUAUUAAUCGGACCAAUCGCGGGCCGCCACGUGUCGUGGGGCCCGCGCUACAGUGAUGAUCCGUGUUCAGUGCAGUGAACUCCCAAGAGGCAGGUUCAUUGCUUUUAUUUAUUUUAAUUUUUUUUUUUUUCGAAAACUGUGUGAACUCUCCGUGGAGUUCACUGAUGCUGAUGCUCUAAUAUAUGUUUAGUAGAUCAACAUAUUUUUCUAAAGACUUUAAAAAACAUUCUAAUGAUGAUUCGUGUCAUAAUUAAAAUGUUGUAAUGUUUCUCUUUUAAUAUACAUGGGAUCUCCAGUCAUUUUAUUUAUUUUUAGAUUACCUCAGCUACAGGAGUGUAACAUAGAUAGGGAUCGUCAUGUAGAAUAUUGCGAUGGUCUUGUGUAGCAAAAGAAGCACUGCUUGAAUGCAUAUUGCAUUGCAUCACUAAAAACAUAUAUUAUGUUUAUGUAUAUAUUAUUAUAUAUAGACUCGAGAUGGUGUUACAAAAAAAAAAAAAAAGUGUUACAAAAAAAAGACUCGAGAUGUUGUUCAACCGUAUUGUAUUCUCAUUGAUAAAAUCUUGCAAGUUGUGCUGAAUAUGAUUUUAUUCCUCUUGGCACUAUCGUCUACGACAUUUGUUAUAUAAUAUUUUGCGUCUCCAUACAUGUUAAAUUCUUUAGUCUCUUGUUGGUGCUGGAACUUAUUUUAACGAAAAUUCAACGCACACCUUCAUUAAACAAAACGACUAAAAUUUAACUUUGUCGUUGGAAAACCUUAAUUGAGCAAAAAAAAAAAUCAUAUUAGGAUUUAGGACUAAGCAAAAUUAACUCUUGAGUAAGUUGAAUUUUCUAAACACAUACAUCAAACAAAAAGGUCUACAUGUAAAUUAUUCAGAUACCUCUUUACACUCUCGAUAUACUAGUGAAAUUGUGACUAAGACAGGGUUGUGCUAUGGUGAAAAAGCGUUCACUUUUAGCAACAAUUAGUGGUUAGGAACUAUAAAUUGAUUCUUUGUGCUCUUAACUCGAUGUACGUUGGAAAGAUUGUUUUACAAUAGGUCAUAUAAGGCAUUAUUGUUAGCAAGAGCUGAUCCUGAAUCUAAGACCAACAUUAUCGGCACUUCUUAGCGAAGUUGCUUAGUAAUAAUCACCCAAAAUUUAAAUCAAAAUUAUGGAAAAACAAAAGAGUCGUCGGUUAAUUAAGAACUUUUCGAACAUGUCCUUAAAGGGCACGUGGCGUAAGGCAACAAGUUUACCGAAUGGGGUAGGGGAAAGUAAAGUUUACGGUAUCGACUUCAUUCUCAUCGUCUCCCUAUUCUCUCUCUUUCGUCGGCGAUUUCAAACAGACGGUCAUCUGGUCGUUCAAUCCACACCGAUCUCUCCUGUCAUCGAACCCUUCUCCGCCGAAUCCAAUCGAAACCGGGUUUAGUUAAAAUGGGCCGUCGAUAUAGCUACAGCCAGCCUUAAGAUCCAGAGGAGUAUGGUGGGGGAGAUAGCUGACAGUGGAUACAACUCAACGAAAGAGCUUAUUCGUCGGGACCAAGCUGAGUUAAGCAUCAAUUGUGGUGCACCGGCUCAGUACCCUCCGCAACCCGAGGUUGAGUUUGGAUUCCCGCAGACAUGCUACUGUGGUGGUGAACCUCUACUAGCAACGUCGUACACAAAAAACGAUCCAGGAAGAAGAUACUACACAUGUGAGCAGGUUGAUGAUGGAGAAUUCCAUGUUUGGAAGUUGUGGGAUGUCGCGGUGAUGGAGGAGAUGAAGGCCAGAGAUAGACACAUACUUCAACUGGCUGAAAAGGUAGAUAAUCUCACCUUUUUGAGUGACUUUGAGACUGAGCAGAAGUUGGUUAGGUUAGAGAAGCUUGUGUGUGACUUAGCAAAGAAGAGAUCAAGUUUUAUCAAUGGGUUUGAAGUAUUUGUUGGUGUAAUGAUCAUUGUUUUAGUUUUCAUAGGUUUGGUGAUCAUCUUUAUGUGAAUCCAGAUGUUGUAGUAAUCUGUAAUCUGAUUUGUACUGAUCAGUUUGUUGGUGUAAUGAUCAUCGUUAUUGAUCAGUUUUUCGAACAAGCCUUUUGUAAUGAAUCAGAUUUGUACUGAUUUUUGUUGAACUCUUUGUAAUGAUUCAUAAUGACUUAUGAAUUUAUUUAUAAAUGAACUCUUAUCG